UUUAUGGAGAGUUUGAUCCUGGCUCAGGAUGAACGCUGGCGGCGUGCCUAAUACAUGCAAGUCGAGCGAACGGACGAGAAGCUUGCUUCUCUGAUGUUAGCGGCGGACGGGUGAGUAACACGUGGAUAACCUACCUAUAAGACUGGGAUAACUUCGGGAAACCGGAGCUAAUACCGGAUAAUAUUUUGAACCGCAUGGUUCAAAAGUGAAAGACGGUCUUGCUGUCACUUAUAGAUGGAUCCGCGCUGCAUUAGCUAGUUGGUAAGGUAACGGCUUACCAAGGCAACGAUGCAUAGCCGACCUGAGAGGGUGAUCGGCCACACUGGAACUGAGACACGGUCCAGACUCCUACGGGAGGCAGCAGUAGGGAAUCUUCCGCAAUGGGCGAAAGCCUGACGGAGCAACGCCGCGUGAGUGAUGAAGGUCUUCGGAUCGUAAAACUCUGUUAUUAGGGAAGAACAUAUGUGUAAGUAACUGUGCACAUCUUGACGGUACCUAAUCAGAAAGCCACGGCUAACUACGUGCCAGCAGCCGCGGUAAUACGUAGGUGGCAAGCGUUAUCCGGAAUUAUUGGGCGUAAAGCGCGCGUAGGCGGUUUUUUAAGUCUGAUGUGAAAGCCCACGGCUCAACCGUGGAGGGUCAUUGGAAACUGGAAAACUUGAGUGCAGAAGAGGAAAGUGGAAUUCCAUGUGUAGCGGUGAAAUGCGCAGAGAUAUGGAGGAACACCAGUGGCGAAGGCGACUUUCUGGUCUGUAACUGACGCUGAUGUGCGAAAGCGUGGGGAUCAAACAGGAUUAGAUACCCUGGUAGUCCACGCCGUAAACGAUGAGUGCUAAGUGUUAGGGGGUUUCCGCCCCUUAGUGCUGCAGCUAACGCAUUAAGCACUCCGCCUGGGAGUACGACCGCAAGGUUGAAACUCAAAGGAAUUGACGGGGACCCGCACAAGCGGUGGAGCAUGUGGUUUAAUUCGAAGCAACGCGAAGAACCUUACCAAAUCUUGACAUCCUUUGACAACUCUAGAGAUAGAGCUUUCCCCUUCGGGGGACAAAGUGACAGGUGGUGCAUGGUUGUCGUCAGCUCGUGUCGUGAGAUGUUGGGUUAAGUCCCGCAACGAGCGCAACCCUUAAGCUUAGUUGCCAUCAUUAAGUUGGGCACUCUAAGUUGACUGCCGGUGACAAACCGGAGGAAGGUGGGGAUGACGUCAAAUCAUCAUGCCCCUUAUGAUUUGGGCUACACACGUGCUACAAUGGACAAUACAAAGGGCAGCGAAACCGUGAGGUCAAGCAAAUCCCAUAAAGUUGUUCUCAGUUCGGAUUGUAGUCUGCAACUCGACUACAUGAAGCUGGAAUCGCUAGUAAUCGUAGAUCAGCAUGCUACGGUGAAUACGUUCCCGGGUCUUGUACACACCGCCCGUCACACCACGAGAGUUUGUAACACCCGAAGCCGGUGGAGUAACCUUUUAGGAGCUAGCCGUCGAAGGUGGGACAAAUGAUUGGGGUGAAGUCGUAACAAGGUAGCCGUAUCGGAAGGUGCGGCUGGAUCACCUCCUUUCU
rnacentral:rRNA from 1 species